UGAACGCUGGCGGCAGGCCUAACACAUGCAAGUCGAACGGUAACAGGAAGAAGCUUGCUUCUUUGCUGACGAGUGGCGGACGGGUGAGUAAUGUCUGGGAAACUGCCUGAUGGGGGGGGAUAACUACUGGAAACGGUAGCUAAUACCGCAUAACGUCGCAAGACCAAAGAGGGGGACCUUCGGGCCUCUUGCCAUCGGAUGUGCCCAGAUGGGAUUAGCUAGUAGGUGGGGUAACGGCUCACCUAGGCGACGAUCCCUAGCUGGUCUGAGAGGAUGACCAGCCACACUGGAACUGAGACACGGUCCAGACUCCUACGGGAGGCAGCAGUGGGGAAUAUUGCACAAUGGGCGCAAGCCUGAUGCAGCCAUGCCGCGUGUAUGAAGAAGGCCUUCGGGUUGUAAAGUACUUUCAGCGGGGAGGAAGGGAGUAAAGUUAA
rnacentral:rRNA from 1 species